UCAAUUUCACUUCCGUCUUGUGUAUCCCCAUGAUUAUGUAUUUUGGGAUGUCGCUGUCACGAUAGUGUGCUUGUACAAUAUAUGAUCUACUGUUUCAGUCAAUAAACUUCCUUUGUGUUAAAGGCCGGGUUUAAUGUUUUUUUCAAAUCCUCAAAGUUAUGUUUACGUUAUUAUCCUUAACACAAAAAAAUCGAAAAAUAAUCAAAUGUAUGACAAACAGCUAUUUGUUUGUAAUAGUUACGUUAAAUACAUUUAGCUUAAAAAUUUUCUUAACUUGAUUCUUUUUUAAUUAAUUAUACUUGGCAACGGUGAACAAACUCGAAACAAUUUUAGAUAAAGUUGUUAAUUUAUCUUAAGGUGCAUGAUUGUUCCCCAGGUGAUGAAUACAGACCUCGACUCCAAGGUACAAGCGACUAAAUCAACGCGGUCUACAUUGACAACGGAGGCCAGAAGAAAACGGUUACGCAUAUCGCGUAUGCGGACUGGGAACAAGACAGAGGCGUUCCUAAUUCUGCCUCCGAUUUCAUUCAGUUCAUACACAAUGUGGAGAAAUAAGCGUCUGAAGGGACCAACCAGGGACCUGUUGUACUUCAUUGUCUUGACGUUGCCAUGAAGUGCGGUUUGUUCUCUGUGGUUUCUACUCUGCUAAAGAAGAUUGCGAUCGACCACGAGGUCAGCGUCGUGAACGCUGUAAGAAAGGUUACGGCAAGCAGACAUGGCGCUAUCGCUGCCCAGGAACAGUUUGACUUCUGCUACGAGUGCGUUCUUCAGCACAUCCGAUAUUUUGCCCCCAACUCGAACUUCGCAGCAUAGUGAUUCACUGACGUUACACUAAAUUGCAUAACACGGAAUUGUUAUACAAGACUUUCACACUCAGAAAUCAUUCUAGUGAUGUUGCAAAGAGCUACUCAAGUUAGUUUGUCUUAAAAAUAUGCAUAUUUAGCGGUUAACCUUAUGAAAAGCUGUUAACAUAUGUAACGCUUAACAUUGCGCCUUGAUGCUUUAAACUCCAGUAGGUCAGAUUAUAAAACAGAUACAUCUCCGGAUUACUUUUUUUUCGUUGUUUGCAUUUUUUAUUCACGAACAUUAAUAUAAGUUUUCAUAAUUGUGUUUAUAUGCACAACCGCAACACUUACCCAUUAUUGACAAACUUAAGUAUUCAUCUUUUUAAAUUAAGUGUAUCUUUUAUUUAAAGACAUUUUCGUAGAUUACAAGCUAAGGCCAACAACAAUUGCCCUACAUAUAUGGUUUCUGUGGUUUCAUUAUUCCUACAAUUUAUCGGCAAUUUACAAUAAGGCAAGUUCGAAUUGUUAAAACAUAAUUAUGUCACAGGCUCUUUAAGGUGUUCUUUUGGGAUUUUAUCCUAUAACUAGUUUAAGUUAAACAGAGCCUGUCGAAAAAGCAGCAAAUAUAUUAAAAAGCAAAGCACAAUUUUUCAAACAGCGAAAUAGGAAACCUUUUUUUAAUAUAAUUUCAUAUAUUUCAUAUAGCAUUAUGUUAUAAAUACCCCAAAUAAUUUAUGGUAAAAGUCGGCAAUUAAAAUCUUAACAAAGUUUAAAUAAUGUAAACCAAAGACUUUUAGUUAAAAUAGUUUAGAUUAUAAAACGAAAAGAUAUGAUCGCUUUAUGUUUUCUGUUUUGGUGCAAAGACCCACAGUAUUUAAAUUUCGAGGGAUUCUUCUUUCUAGUUCAGUGAGCCAGCAUCAUUUAAUAAACGCAUUUGACACAUGUCCUGUUAUAUACUUAGCUAUAAUAUCUCAUUUUAGUAUCCGUAAAUAUUUUACAACUAUGAGUCAUUCACUUUUAAGAUCACGUAGUGCAAACUGAAGCCCAGCCUAUAUGCAUGACUAAAAACAAUGAAAAAUUUACCAACGUUGUUUCAUUCAAAAAUUAAUGUAUAGAGGGCGUAUCUCCAUAUCUAGGGACACGUAACAAUUUGCUAACAUUUAAUUAAGAUCCUUCAUGUGUGAUCCUCCUUUUAUUCUACAGUUUAACUUGCGUAAUACUUAUGAUUUCAUACUGUUUUUAGUUCACCAGAAUUAGUGAAAAUAUCUCUUGCUUACUGUUAUUAAGAUAUGUUGUAGAUAUAUGUUAAGUGCAUUUUAAAUAAUCCUCAUAUCCAUGCAUUUACUACAGCUUAUAAUGAACCUGCAAUUUCUUAUUACUUUACAUAUAUUUUUUAGGACAAUACUAAUUACUUUUUUGUAUUACAAAAUAUCUAAGCUUUAUAAACUGUGCAAUAAAUAAAAUAAUACUUA